UGGGGAAUAUUGCACAAUGGAGGGAACUCUGAUGCAGCGACGCCGCGCGAACGAAGAAGGCUUUCGAGUCGUAAAGUUCUUUUAUAUGGGAAGAUAAUGACGGUACCAUAAGAAAAAGCCCCGGCUAACUACUUUCCAGCAGCCGCGGUAAUACGUAGGGGGCUAGCGUUGUCCGGAAUCACUGGGCGUAAAGGGUUCGCAGGCGGAAAUGCAAGUCAGGUGUAAAAGGCAGUAGCUUAACUACUGUAAGCAUUUGAAACUGCAUAUCUUGAGAAGAGUAGAGGUAAGUGGAAUUUUUAGUGUAGCGGUGAAAUGCGUAGAUAUUAAAAAGAAUACCGGUGGCGAAGGCGACUUACUGGGCUCAUUCUGACGCUGAGGAACGAAAGCGUGGGUAGCAAACAGG
rnacentral:rRNA from 1 species